rnacentral:rRNA from 1 species
AACGCUGGCGGCAGGCCUAACACAUGCAAGUCGGACGGUGGCACAGAGGAGCUUGCUCCUUGGGUGACGAGUGGCGGACGGGUGAGUAAUGUCUGGGGAUCCGCCCGAUAGAGGGGGAUAACCACUGGAAACGGUGGCUAAUACCGCAUAACGUCGCAAGACCAAAGAGGGGGACCUUCGGGCCUCUCACUAUCGGAUGAACCCAGAUGGGAUUAGUCCUAGUAGGCGGGGUAAUGGCCCCUAGGCGACGAUCCCUAGCUGGUCUGAGAGGAUGACCAGCCACACCGGAACUGAGACACGGUCCAGACUCCUACGGGAGGCAGCAGUGGGGAAUAUUGCACAAUGGGCGCAAGCCUGAUGCAGCCAUGCCGCGUGUAUGAAGAAGGCCUUCGGGUUGUAAAGUACUUUCAGCGGGGAGGAAGGCGGUGAGGUUAAUAAGCUCGACCCGAUUGAGCCGUUACCCGCAGAAGAAGCACCGGCUCCGUGCCAGCAGCCGCGGUAAUACGGAGGGUGCAAGCGUUAAUCGGAAUUACUGGGCGUAAAGCGCACGCAGGCGGUCUGUUAAGUCAGAUGUGAAAUCCCCGGGCUUAACCUGGGGAACUGCAUUUGAGACUGGCAGGCUUGAGUCUCGUAGAGGGGGGGUAGAAUUCCCAGGUGUAGCGGUGAAAUGCGUAGAGAUCUGGAGGAAUACCGGUGGCGAAGGGCCCCCU